AGAGUUUGAUCCUGGCUCAGGAUGAACGCUGGCGGCGUGCUUAACACAUGCAAGUCGAACGAUUAAAGCCCCUUCGGGGGUGUAUAGAGUGGCGAACGGGUGAGUAACACGUGGGGAACCUGCCCAUCUCUCUGGGAUAACCUUGGGAAACCGAAGCUAAUACCGGAUACUCCUUGCGGACCGCAUGGUCUGCUCGGGAAAGCUCCGGCGGAGAUGGAUGGCCCCGCGGCCCAUUAGCUUGUUGGUGGGGUAAUGGCCCACCAAGGCGACGAUGGGUAGCCGAGCUGAGAGGCUGAUCGGCCACACUGGGACUGAGACACGGCCCAGACUCCUACGGGAGGCAGCAGUGGGGAAUUUUGCACAAUGGGCGAAAGCCUGAUGCAGCAACGCCGCGUGCGGGAUGAAGGCCCUCGGGUUGUAAACCGCUUUCAGCAGGGAUGAAUCUGACAGUACCUGCAGAAGAAGCCCCGGCUAACUACGUGCCAGCAGCCGCGGUAAUACGUAGGGGGCAAGCGUUAUCCGGAUUCAUUGGGCGUAAAGAGCGCGUAGGCGGAUUGUUAAGUCAGAUGUGAAAACCGGGGGCUCAACCCGCGGCCUGCAUCUGAAACUGGCAGUCUUGAGUCUGGUAGAGGAAAGUGGAAUUCCUGGUGUAGCGGUGAAAUGCGCAGAUAUCAGGAGGAACACCAGUGGCGAAGGCGGCUUUCUGGGCCACGACUGACGCUGAGGCGCGAAAGCUAGGGGAGCGAACAGGAUUAGAUACCCUGGUAGUC
rnacentral:rRNA from 1 species